rnacentral:lncRNA from 1 species
UACAUUAAUAUGAUGUUUCCAUGAGUAAUAUAUAGGACUUUAAGAUGUUGAAAGAAGCAUUAAAAAACAAGCUUCGCUUAUCAGCCUCAAAAUAGUUAUUUCCUUAAAGUGAGAUUUCUGUGUGGCGAGCCCUUUUUCUUUUUUGUUUUCAGGUUUUUUUUUUUUUCCGGGGCGAGGGGGGGCUUGCAUGCAUGAACCUCUUCUUCUUUUUUUUUCGUUUUCUUUUUGAAAUAUUUCUUUAAAAAGCAAAAGAGUGUUUCACAUUAAAAAUUACUUCAUUUUGAAUUCCUUCGAAUUGCACCGCCGUUGUCACAAUGACUUUAAAAAUUGUCCAGAAAUUGUUUCUUGAGGCUAAAGAUACCCUUCAUUAGCACUAAAUUAUUGAUUGUCUAAAUGUUGAGAAAAAUUCUCUCAUACUUUAAAUUAUGUAUAAAACCAAUUCAGGAACCACAGAUUUCUUGUUUAUUUUCUUAUACGUUGGAUUAACUAACAACUAAAAAAUCUGCUUGUACCAUUGUAAAGCUUAGGAUGAUAAGUCUACAUGAUGAAUAAUUCAGAAGACUUUGGAAGUCUGAAAUAUUACAUGAAUAAGUGAUUCACAAGUACAAGAAAUGCAACACCUGAGCCAAAACAUCUAACUCG